UCGCUGUCCGUAAGUCGGUUAAGCCGUGAAUCGGAAGGUUAUCCUGCAUCCAUUAUGGUGAAACACUCAUAGAAAGGUGAAGCG
rfam:Pelistega indica strain HM-7 Contig23, whole genome shotgun sequence.